rnacentral:rRNA from 1 species
UACAGAGGGGGCAAGCGUUGUUCGAAAUUACUGGGCGUAAAGGGCGCGUAGGCGGCCCGCUAAGUCGAACGUGAAAUCCCCGAGCUCAACUCGGGAACUGCGUCCGAUACUGGCGGGCUUGAAUCCGGGAGAGGGAUGCGGAAUUCCAGGUGUAGCGGUGAAAUGCGUAGAUAUCUGGAGGAACACCGGUGGCGAAGGCGGCAUCCUGGACCGGCAUUGACGCUGAGGGCGCGAAAGCUAGGGGAGCAAACGGGG